UACGUAGGGUGCAAGCGUUGUCCGGAAUUAUUGGGCGUAAAGAGCUCGUAGGCGGUUUGUCGCGUCUGCUGUGAAAACCCGAGGCUCAACCUCGGGCCUGCAGUGGGUACGGGCAAACUAGAGUGCGGUAGGGGAGAAUGGAAUUCCCGGUGUAGCGGUGAAAUGCGCAGAUAUCGGGAAGAACACCCGUGGCGAAGGCGGCUCUCUGGGACGGUACUGACGCUGAGACGCGAAAGCGUGGGGAGCAAACAGG
rnacentral:rRNA from 1 species